rfam:Psychromonas ingrahamii 37, complete genome.
CUAGGCAAUUUCCGUACGUUUUUCUUGUCUGAGAAAUCACUUUAGCAAAGGAAAUCAUGGAUGAUUUCAUUAGGCUCGGCUCUGCACAUGGAUGUGCUGUCCGAGCCGGUGCGUUAAGAAGUUAUUGAGCAGACAAGAAUAAAAAACGUCUCGGAACGGCAUUCU